rnacentral:RNase_P_RNA from 2 species
UAAGUAAAUUGGUCAAUCGCAUCGAUAGAUGAGGAAAGUCUGCGCUCCAUAGAGCAGGAUGCCGGUGAAAGACCGGUGGGGGCAACCCUAAGGAAAGUGCAACAGAGAGAUACCGCCUGAAGUUCAGGUAAGGGUGGAAAGGCGAGGUAAGAGCUCACCGGGUUAUUAGUAAUAAUAAUGCCAUGUAAACCCCAUUCGGAGCAAGACCAAGAUAGGAUAAAACAGAUGUUGCUCGCAUCUGCCGGAAGGUAGGUCGCUUUAAUUUAUUGGUGACAAUAAAUAUAGAUAGAUGAUUGAUAAAACAGAACGCAGCUUAUAGAUUUACUUACUUA